AUACGUAGGGUGCGAGCGUUGUCCGGAAUUACUGGGCGUAAAGAGCUCGUAGGUGGUUUGUCGCGUCGUCUGUGAAAUUCCGGGGCUUAACUCCGGGCGUGCAGGCGAUACGGGCAUAACUUGAGUACUGUAGGGGAGACUGGAAUUCCUGGUGUAGCGGUGAAAUGCGCAGAUAUCAGGAGGAACACCGGUGGCGAAGGCGGGUCUCUGGGCAGUAACUGACGCUGAGGAGCGAAAGCAUGGGUGGGGACCAGGAUUAGAUACCCUGGUAGUCCAUGCCGUAAACGGUGGGCGCUAGGUGUAGGGGUCUUCCACGACUUCUGUGCCGUAGCUAACGCAUUAAGCGCCCCGCCUGGGGAGUACGGCCGCAAGGCUAAAACUCAAAGGAAUUGACGG
rnacentral:rRNA from 1 species